AAUCUACUCCCUCUGUUCUGAAUUACUUGUCGCAGGUAUGGAUGUAUCUAGAUAUAUUUUAGUUCUAGAUACAUCCACUUCUGCGACGAGUAAUUUGAAACGGAGAGAGUAUGUG
rnacentral:pre_miRNA from 1 species